CCUACGGGAGGCAGCAGUGGGGAAUAUUGCACAAUGGGGGAAACCCUGAUGCAGCGACGCCGCGUGAGUGAAGAAGUAUUUCGGUAUGUAAAGCCCUAUUAGCAGGGAAGAUAAUGACGGUAUCUGACUAAUAAGCCCCGGCUAACUACGUGCCAGCAGCCGCGGUAAUACGGAGGGUGCAAGCGUUACCCGGAUUUACUGGGCGUAAAGGGAGCGUAGACGGCAGCGCAAGUCUGAAGUGAAAUGCCGGGGCUUAACCCCGGAACUGCAUUGGAAACUGUUCAGCUAGAGUGCGGGAGAGGUAAGUGGAAUUCCUAGUGUAGCGGUAAAAUGCGUAGAGAUUAGGAGGAACACCAGUGGCGAAGGCGACAUACUGGAAUGUAACUGACGUUGAGGCGCGAAAGCGUGGGGAGCAAACAGGAUUAGAUACCCGAGUAGUC
rnacentral:rRNA from 1 species